rnacentral:ncRNA from 1 species
UGAUAGAGGCGCGGCCAUCAUCAGUAGCUCCACCGCAGGCGACGGGAAUCGCCGGGGCGAAAGGGAUCGCUGCCGAAGGGUCUGUCGGGUUCCUGGCCGGCGGACGCCUGGGCCGUCGGAGAACAUCCGCCGGACUGUCGUAGGUAUCUACGGAGCGCUGUCA